rnacentral:rRNA from 1 species
AACGAACGCUGGCGGCGUGCUUAACACAUGCAAGUCGAGCGCGAAAGUUUCUCUUCGGAGGAGCGAGUAGAGCGGCAGACGGGUGAGUAACACGUGGGUAACCUGCCCCAAGGUGAGGAUAACUACUCGAAAGGGUAGCUAAUACUGCAUAAGACCACGAUCCUGCGGGAUUGCGGUAAAAGAUUUCGAUCGCCAUGGGAGGGGCCCGCGGCCGAUUAGCUAGUUGGUGGGGUAAGAGCCUACCAAGGCGACGAUCGGUAGCUGGUCUGAGAGGAUGAUCAGUCACACUGGUACUUAGACACGGACCAGACUCCUACGGGAGGCAGCAGUGGGGAAUAUUGCGCAAUGGACGAAAGUCUGACGCAGCAACGCCGCGUGGGUGAAGAAGGCCUUCGGGUCGUAAAACCCUGUCAGGAGGGAAGAAACCUGCAUAGCAGCUGACGGUACCUCCAAAGGAAGCACCGGCUAACUCCGUG